AAUGGCAGCCUUCAUGGAGCAGAUCAUCACUUACUCGGGUUCAUGGAAGCCAAAAGUAUUUGGCGGACACAACAUCUUUGUUUGUAUGUGGUGCUGAGAAUCGAACCCGGGCCGCACGCAUGCCAGGAGAGCUAUAGAUAUUAUAGUUUGGAUGUGAGGUGUCUCCCAGAAGAUCAUGUGUAAAACAAUGCAAGAACAUUCAGAGCAGAAAUGAUUGGGUUAUGAGAUCCUUAACCCAAUCAAUCAAUCCCCUGAUUGGUAACUGAAGGCAGGUAGGGUGAGGCUGAAGGAUGUGGGUCUCUGGGUGUGCCUUUGGGGUGUAUAUUUUGUAUCUGGCAGUGGAGUUUCUCUGUUUCCUGAUCAUCACUGCUUCCCUCUGUCACACCUUCUGCCAUGAUGUUCUGCCUCACCUCAAACCCUGAGGAAUGGAGCAGGCUAUCUAUGGACCGAAACCUCUGAAACCAUGAACCCUCAAAUGAACUUUGCCCCAUUAAAAUUGUUCUUGUCAGAAAAAAAAGUGUGUCACAUUAAAUUGGAUAGAGAGAAAGGAUGGGAGAGGAGGGGAGGGGUAGGAGGAUAGGAAGGGCAGCAGACUAGAAUAGACAAUAUGAUUGAUGUAUGUACAUUCCAUGUAUGUAUUAUAUGUCAAAAUACAUUCUGCUGUCAUGUAUGACUAAAAAAAAUAAAUCAUAUGGUAAAAAAAAAGAAAAAGAAAAAAAUUGUUCUUGUCAGAUCUUUUAGUCAUAGCAGUGAAAAAGUUGACUAAAAUACAUAGAUGUUGUGUCCUCCUCUAAGUCCUGUUGGCAAGAAGACAUUUCCUGGAAGUGGUAACAAGGUAACAGGUAUGAUAUACACAAGCACACACACUGUACCAUUGUCAUGUUUGACAGGCUUUUUAAAAAGUAUAUCAAAUAAUAGACUAUAAGAAUCCAGUCAACAUGACUAGAUUCCUUGCUAAGAAAAAUCUACACCAAAAAAAAGGUUAUGAACAAUCAUGACAUUGAAUUUUUAUUCUCAUUUGCUGCCUAAGAAUUUAUAUAAAUGAGAAGACUUAUUCUUGGCUCUAGAGAUCUAUUUGUAUAGAAUGGUGACUAUAGUAAAUGAUAAUGUAUUGUCCACUCAAAACUUGCUAAGAAAGGGCUGGGGUUAUAGCUCAGUGGUGG